rnacentral:rRNA from 1 species
AACGAACGCUGGCGGCAUGCCUAACACAUGCCAGUCGAACGAGACCUUCGGGUCUAGUGGCGCACGGGUGCGUAACGCGUGGGAACCUGCCCUUAGGUUCGGAAUAACUCCCCGAAAGGGGUGCUAAUACCGGAUAAUGUCUUCGGACCAAAGAUUUAUCGCCUUUGGAUGGGCCCGCGGUGGAUUAGCUAGUUGGUAGGGUAAAAGCCUACCAAGGCGACGAUCCAUAGCUGGUCUGAGAGGAUGAUCAGCCACACUGGGACUGAGACACGGCCCAGACUCCUACGGGAGGCAGCAGUGGGGAAUAUUGGACAAUGGGCGAAAGCCUGAUCCAGCAAUGCCGCGUGAGUGAUGAAGGCCUUAGGGUUGUAAAGCUCUUUUACCCGGGAUGAUAAUGACAGUACCGGGAGAAUAAGCUCCGGCUAACUCCGUG